AUGGCAUUAAAAGGAAGGUGGUCCCUGCCCCUCCCAAAGCCAAAGCCAAAGCCAAGGCUAUGAAGGCCAAGCAGGCAGGGCUAAAAGGCAUCCACCCCACCCCACACACACACAAUCUGCACAUCACCACCUUCUGGUGGCCCAAGACACUAUGGUUCCAAACGCAGCCCAAACAUCCUCAGAGGAACACUCAGAGAAGAUACAAACUUGACUACUAUGCCAGCAUCAAAAUCCCUUUAAGCCACUAAGUCAGCCAAUGAAAAAGAUGACAGCAAAACACUUGUGUUCACUGUAGAUAUCAAGCCCAACAACAGAUCAGACAGGCCAUGAAGAAGCUCUAUUGACAAUGAUGUGGCCAGGUCUACACCCCAAUCAGGCCUGCUGGAGAGAAGGCAUAUGUUAGACUGCCUCCUGACUAUGAUGCUUUCAAUAUUGCCUACAAAACUGGGAUCAUCUAA
rnacentral:lncRNA from 1 species